GGGAUUUUAUAGUCUCAACGUUCUGAUUGUUUGUGACGAUCAGCAAAGGAUUCGUUUCGUUGAUCCUACCUUCCAGGGAUCUAAUCAUGACUCUCAUAUAUGGCGUGUAAGCCCUGCAAGAACUCACUUUGAGCAGCUUCACCAAAAUGGUGAAGUUAAUACUAAGAUUCUAGGUGAUGCUGGUUAUCCAUCGGAACCUUGGUUAGUAACGCCAUUCAGAGCAGCGGAGGAAGGGAGUUUGGAGAGCGAUUUUAAUCGCAGGCAUGCCUUGGGUCGUGCUAUCGUCGAGCGGACAAUCGGUUUACUAAAAAAUCGGUUUAGAUGCAUCCUUGGCGCGAGACAACUUCACUACAAUCCUACUAAAUGCGCUCAAAUUAUAAAUGUAUGCUGUGCACUUCACAAUAUAUGCUUAGAAUUUGGUCGUUCUCAGUAGUUAUAAUAUGUUAUGCAGCUGUUUACAUAAUAAACUUUUGUUUAAAUUAAUAUUUAUGACUGUUAAAUUUCAUCUAACUUGUUUGCAAAUGCUCAAAUAAAUAACAACCACCGGAAAAGGAAGUGUCUUCCUUACUUAACUAUGGUUUCGGCAGAAUUAUUUACUCUUAUUCCUGCCAACACUUUGAGAACAUGUCAUUAUCGAUUUCUCGUAAGCAGGCCAAGUAUUCAAAUAACCAUUAUUAAUACUUUUUGCGUUGUUUUAACCCCUUGCUGUACGAUUUAAUUUCCAACAGCACGGCCCAAAACGAGCACUUCGAGUCGUUCCGCUACUCUGCUGAGUGUGGGUAUCUAACAUGGGUGCCCUAUGAUGAGCAAAUACA